UUGUUUGCACAACAAUGUAUAUUUGCAAGUUUCCCUCAACUUUGCUAUUGCGUUUUUUAAAACUGUCAAAUAUUAUUUUCAUAAUGAAAUGCGUAAACCAAACUCUAUUCUGGAAAUGGAGGUGAUAUCUUCAAGUCAUUGUUGAUCAUAUAUUUUAAGUUUUGAAAAAGAAAAUUAAUCACGUAAACAAAACUUUACUCUGGAAAUGAAGUUUGAAUAAAGAAAUUAAGAAUAAAGAUGCUUAUUAAAAAUGCAUUUUAAGUUUGUGUAAGAGAUUGUUUGUAAAUACGCACCGCUAAAUUUCUUUAAUGAACAAAAAAGAUCAGAAUUUUUACCUCCCAAAUCCAUAAGUUAAUUAAAAAAUAAAAACCACGUAAAAGAGCUUAAGAUCUCCUACUUUUUUUUAAAAAAAAAAUUUACCGUUGCGUAAUUUAUGGAGGAUACCUAACGAAAGUUAAAUUUGUUCGGAUUUUAUCUUUGAAAGUUUUUUUUAUUUUUAUGUCGUGUAAAUAUGUACAUUCUGUAAGAUAUUACCGUUAAAUACUGACAACAGGGGUAAGAAGAAGACUUAAUAGGUCUAUUUGCCGAGCCCCUAGAUAAAUUUCGUAAUUAUAUUACGUAUACAAUAAUUUUUAUUCUCUAUAUUUACUAAAAUAAUUGAAAAAGUCAUAAAUAUAGAAUGUGAAAUUAAAAUAAGCAUUAAAAUAUUAUUAUUUAUGAUUGAUAAAUAUAAUAUGCUUUUAUUUUUAUAAUAACUGCGAGAGGAAUUCUUUAAAUGCCUUACAUGGCAGAUUUUGAAACUAUGAUUAAUUAUAAGAAAAAAGCGUUUUUUGUUGCAAUUCCUAAAGACAAUUAUUAUUGUUUUUUUUGUGUUUUUUUUGAACAAGUCGUAGCAAAUUAUUUUAUUGUUUUUGGGAACUUGAAUAAUAGUUUUCUAAAAUAUAUUAACUAAAAAUGAAAAAAGGUUUCAAUUAUGUUGCGAAAUGGUCGAGAGCGGAACUGGUUUUCAAAAAUGCUCAAUGGCUCUCAAUCUAACAUUAGGUUUUGAUUGUAAACAGAUGUAAAAAAGUAAUCAUUUUUUACGCCUGAAAUAAGCCAGUAGUGUAGCGCACAUUAUUAAAUCUAAAGACUUGCGGUCAAGUU